UACAGAGGGGGCAAGCGUUGUUCGGAAUUACUGGGCGUAAAGGGCGCGUAGGCGGCCUUCUAAGUCGAACGUGAAAUCCCUGGGCUCAACCCAGGAACUGCGUCCGAUACUGGAAGGCUUGAAUCCGGGAGAGGGAUGCGGAAUUCCAGGUGUAGCGGUGAAAUGCGUAGAUAUCGUGAGGAAGACCGGUGGCGAAGGCGGAUCUCUGGACAGUUCCUGACGCUGAGGCGCGAAGGCCAGGGGAGCAAACGGG
rnacentral:rRNA from 1 species